rnacentral:lncRNA from 1 species
AGUGGUUGAAUAUUAGUGGGAAGAUGCUGGGAAAUGAAAAGAUCUUAAUAUGUUAAGGUGAAAUCUGGGCCUCAUCAGAAAUCAAGGCAGCAGAGAAGAAGUUAAGACUGGAAGAAUGAAGAGGUAAUCAGCUACCCCAAGCUGGAAGACAGACAGGGAGGCAGUCCUGCCAACUCCGUGUGAGAUGAUGAGGAGCGUCGGGAAGAAAUGCUUUAUCUGUAAUCACAAAUCAGCUGGAGGAAAGAAAAAACUCAGAAGAGUUCAAACACCAGCAGUUAUUUUGAAGACAAAUGAUUGACUGAACUUAACAUUUUCCCCAGCAACAAGUUCUAGUGUGAAAGGCAACCUUGGAGAAGAGCAGCAAGUUCAAGUAGCACAAAGCAAAGAAGAAAAGCCUACUUUUAUUUGGUAAGUUGUAAUUACUCCAUUCAGGUUGUUCUUAUACAUAGAUUUUUUUGAUUCAAUAUCUUAUUUCAUAUUUAACCUUACC